rnacentral:rRNA from 1 species
AGAGUUUGAUCAUGGCUCAGGAUGAACGCUGGCGGCGUGCCUAACACAUGCAAGUCGAACGGACUUUUCAUGAAGCCUAGCGAUUGAAAAGUUAGUGGCGGACGGGUGAGUAACGCGUGGGUAACCUGCCUUGUACUGGGGGACAACAGUUGGAAACGACUGCUAAUACCGCAUAAGCGCACAGCUUCGCAUGAAGCAGUGUGAAAACUCCGGUGGUACAAGAUGGACCCGCGUCUGAUUAGCUGGUUGGUGAGGUAACGGCCACCAAGGCGACGAUCAGUAGCCGGCCUGAGAGGGUGAACGGCCACAUUGGGACUGAGACACGGCCCAAACUCCCUACGGGAGCA